AGGAGAAGAUGAGAUACAUGCAGACGAGGAGGUUGGUAAUCCUGCACAUGCGUACUUGAGGGAGCUUGAAAAUCCAACACCUCAUGACUUUCCGGUUCUACAGGAAGAGACCCGUUGUGAACUUCUUCACCCGGGCGAUUCAUACAGUGGAGCCUUGAACUUGGUUGCGUAUGGAAGUGCUCAACCGGCCGAACAAGGUACGGUCCAUUUGCGACCGCU